CCUACGGGAGGCAGCAGUCGGGAAUAUUGCGCAAUGGAGGAAACUCUGACGCAGUGACGCAGCGUGCAGGAAGAAGGUUUUCGGAUUGUAAACUGCUUUAGACAGGGAAGAAAAAAGACAGUAGCUGUAGAAUAAGCUCCGGCUAACUACGUGCCAGCAGCCGCGGUAAUCCGUAGGGAGCAAGCGUUGUCCGGAUUUAUUGGGUGUAAAGGGUGCGUCAACGGAGAAGCAAGUUAGUUGGUAAAUCCCUCAGCUUAACUGAGGAACUGCAACGAAAACUACUUCCCUUGAGUACUGGAGAGGAAAGUGGAAUUCCUAGUGGAGCGGUGAAAUGCGUAGAUAUUAGGAGGAACACCAGUGGCGAAGGCGACUUUCUGGACAGUAACUGACGUUGAGGCACGAAAGUGUGGGGAGCAAACAGGAUUAGAUACCCCAGUAGUC
rnacentral:rRNA from 1 species